rnacentral:ncRNA from 1 species
UGGAACAAUAUGGGUAAGGAAAGUUGGCAAAAUAGAUCUAUAACUUUGGAAAAAAAGAUCAGCUCUGAGGGCUGGGCACAGGGGUCCUAGUCCCAAACCCAUUGGCUAUCAGUGGACUGCUCAAGCUUCUCCCAUAGAUAGAGUGGUUCAUCGCGUGUCGGCCCGGGGACGAUCUGGGAACGAUUCCUUCGGGUUCCCCGCGUGUCAAACAACAAACUUAGAAAUUGUACGGACAAGGGGAAUCCAAUUAUUUAAUUAAAAAAAGCAUUACGAUAGUCCCAAUGAAUGUUCACGUAAUAUGAUUUCUGCCUAGUGCUCUGAAUGUCAAAGUGAAAAAAUUCAACCAAGUGCAAGUAAAUGAUAGAGUAGCUAUGACUCUCUUAAGUUAGCCAAAUGCCUCUUCAUCUAAUUAUUGACGCACAUGAAUGGAUUAAAGAGAUUCCCACUAUCCCUGUCUACUAUCCAACGAAACUACAACCAAGUGAACGGGUAGAAUUAGCGGGGAAAAAAGACUAGUCUAACUUUAGGAAAUGACUUGAUAAGUAUAGUAUAAGUUGGAGACGAAAGGCGAAAGUGAAAUACCACGAAUUUAAAUGUUAUUUUACUUAUUUUGUGAACUGAAAGUGGCGCAUUGCUCUUUUUGGACCCAUAACUCGCUCCACGGGCUGAUCUAGGCAAAAACAUUAUCAGAUGGGGAGUUUGGAUAGGGCGGAACUUCUGUUAAAGAUAACACAAGUGUCUUAAGAUGAGCUCAAUGAGAAUUAAAAUAUUAUAUGGAACAAAAGGGUAAAAGCUCAUUUGAUUCUAAUGUCCAGUAUGAAUAUGAACCGUGAAAGCAUGUUCUAACGAUCCUUUAGACCUUUAGAAUUUGAAGUUAGAGGUGUCAGAAAAGUUACCAUAGGGAUAACUGGUUUGUGGUAGCCAAGAGUUCAUAGCGAUUUUACUUUUUGAUCCUUUGAUGUCGGCUCUUCCUAUUAUUAUGAAGCAAAAUUCACCAAGUAUUGGAUUGUUCACCCACCAAUAGGGAAUGUGAGAUGAAUUUAGACUGUCGUAAGACAGAUUAGUUUUACCCAAUUGAUGACAGUGUCACAAUAGUAAUUCAACCUAGUACGAGAGGAACCAUUGAUUUGCACAAUUAGUCAUCACGCUUGGUUAGAGCGAAACUACCAUUUGCUGGAUUAUGAUUAAAUACCUCUAAGUCAGAAUUAGGGAUAAAAGCGAUGCAUGCACCUGCUGUCCGCUUACCAACUCGCAAUAGGUACCUCAGAACCCAAGGACACGUGUUAUUGGCUAAGCCAUCACGGCGGAAGGGUCGCGGUGGCC